GGGUUGUGAGGUUAAGCGACUAAGCGUACACGGUGGAUGCCCUGGCAGUCAGAGGCGAUGAAGGACGUGCUAAUCUGCGAUAAGCGUCGGUAAGGUGAUAUGAACCGUUAUAACCGGCGAUUUCCGAAUGGGGAAACCCAGUGUGAUUCGUCACACUAUCAUUAACUGAAUCCAUAGGUUAAUGAGGCGAACCGGGGGAACUGAAACAUCUAAGUACCCCGAGGAAAAGAAAUCAACCGAGAUUCCCCCAGUAGCGGCGAGCGAACGGGGAGGAGCCCAGAGCCUGAAUCAGUGUGUGUGUUAGUGGAAGCGUCUGGAAAGGCGCGCGAUACAGGGUGACAGCCCCGUACACAAAAAUACACAUAUUGUGAGCUCGAUGAGUAGGGCGGGACACGUGGUAUCCUGUCUGAAUAUGGGGGGACCAUCCUCCAAGGCUAAAUACUCCUGACUGACCGAUAGUGAACCAGUACCGUGAGGGAAAGGCGAAAAGAACCCCGGCGAGGGGAGUGAAAAAGAACCUGAAACCGUGUACGUACAAGCAGUGGGAGCACGCUUAGGCGUGUGACUGCGUACCUUUUGUAUAAUGGGUCAGCGACUUAUAUUCUGUAGCAAGGUUAACCGAAUAGGGGAGCCGAAGGGAAACCGAGUCUUAACUGGGCGUUAAGUUGCAGGGUAUAGACCCGAAACCCGGUGAUCUAGCCAUGGGCAGGUUGAAGGUUGGGUAACACUAACUGGAGGACCGAACCGACUAAUGUUGAAAAAUUAGCGGAUGACUUGUGGCUGGGGGUGAAAGGCCAAUCAAACCGGGAGAUAGCUGGUUCUCCCCGAAAGCUAUUUAGGUAGCGCCUCGUGAAUUCAUCUCCGGGGGUAGAGCACUGUUUCGGCAAGGGGGUCAUCCCGACUUACCAACCCGAUGCAAACUGCGAAUACCGGAGAAUGUUAUCACGGGAGACACACGGCGGGUGCUAACGUCCGUCGUGAAGAGGGAAACAACCCAGACCGCCAGCUAAGGUCCCAAAGUCAUGGUUAAGUGGGAAACGAUGUGGGAAGGCCCAGACAGCCAGGAUGUUGGCUUAGAAGCAGCCAUCAUUUAAAGAAAGCGUAAUAGCUCACUGGUCGAGUCGGCCUGCGCGGAAGAUGUAACGGGGCUAAACCAUGCACCGAAGCUGCGGCAGCGACGCUUAUGCGUUGUUGGGUAGGGGAGCGUUCUGUAAGCCUGUGAAGGUGUGCUGUGAGGCAUGCUGGAGGUAUCAGAAGUGCGAAUGCUGACAUAAGUAACGAUAAAGCGGGUGAAAAGCCCGCUCGCCGGAAGACCAAGGGUUCCUGUCCAACGUUAAUCGGGGCAGGGUGAGUCGACCCCUAAGGCGAGGCCGAAAGGCGUAGUCGAUGGGAAACAGGUUAAUAUUCCUGUACUUGGUGUUACUGCGAAGGGGGGACGGAGAAGGCUAUGUUGGCCGGGCGACGGUUGUCCCGGUUUAAGCGUGUAGGCUGGUUUUCCAGGCAAAUCCGGAAAAUCAAGGCUGAGGCGUGAUGACGAGGCACUACGGUGCUGAAGCAACAAAUGCCCUGCUUCCAGGAAAAGCCUCUAAGCAUCAGGUAACAUCAAAUCGUACCCCAAACCGACACAGGUGGUCAGGUAGAGAAUACCAAGGCGCUUGAGAGAACUCGGGUGAAGGAACUAGGCAAAAUGGUGCCGUAACUUCGGGAGAAGGCACGCUGAUAUGUAGGUGAAGUCCCUUGCGGAUGGAGCUGAAAUCAGUCGAAGAUACCAGCUGGCUGCAACUGUUUAUUAAAAACACAGCACUGUGCAAACACGAAAGUGGACGUAUACGGUGUGACGCCUGCCCGGUGCCGGAAGGUUAAUUGAUGGGGUCAGCGCAAGCGAAGCUCUUGAUCGAAGCCCCGGUAAACGGCGGCCGUAACUAUAACGGUCCUAAGGUAGCGAAAUUCCUUGUCGGGUAAGUUCCGACCUGCACGAAUGGCGUAAUGAUGGCCAGGCUGUCUCCACCCGAGACUCAGUGAAAUUGAACUCGCUGUGAAGAUGCAGUGUACCCGCGGCAAGACGGAAAGACCCCGUGAACCUUUACUAUAGCUUGACACUGAACAUUGAGCCUUGAUGUGUAGGAUAGGUGGGAGGCUUGGAAGUGUGGACGCCAGUCUGCAUGGAGCCGACCUUGAAAUACCACCCUUUAAUGUUUGAUGUUCUAACGUUGACCCGUAAUCCGGGUUGCGGACAGUGUCUGGUGGGUAGUUUGACUGGGGCGGUCUCCUCCUAAAGAGUAACGGAGGAGCACGAAGGUUGGCUAAUCCUGGUCGGACAUCAGGAGGUUAGUGCAAUGGCAUAAGCCAGCUUGACUGCGAGCGUGACGGCGCGAGCAGGUGCGAAAGCAGGUCAUAGUGAUCCGGUGGUUCUGAAUGGAAGGGCCAUCGCUCAACGGAUAAAAGGUACUCCGGGGAUAACAGGCUGAUACCGCCCAAGAGUUCAUAUCGACGGCGGUGUUUGGCACCUCGAUGUCGGCUCAUCACAUCCUGGGGCUGAAGUAGGUCCCAAGGGUAUGGCUGUUCGCCAUUUAAAGUGGUACGCGAGCUGGGUUUAGAACGUCGUGAGACAGUUCGGUCCCUAUCUGCCGUGGGCGCUGGAGAACUGAGGGGGGCUGCUCCUAGUACGAGAGGACCGGAGUGGACGCAUCACUGGUGUUCGGGUUGUCAUGCCAAUGGCACUGCCCGGUAGCUAAAUGCGGAAGAGAUAAGUGCUGAAAGCAUCUAAGCACGAAACUUGCCCCGAGAUGAGUUCUCCCUGACUCCUUGAGAGUCCUGAAGGAACGUUGAAGACGACGACGUUGAUAGGCCGGGUGUGUAAGCGCAGCGAUGCGUUGAGCUAACCGGUACUAAUGAACCGUGAGGCUUAACCUUACAACGCCGAAG
rnacentral:rRNA from 2 species